GGGUUGUGAGGUUAAGCGACUAAGCGUACACGGUGGAUGCCCUGGCAGUCAGAGGCGAUGAAGGACGUGCUAAUCUGCGAUAAGCGUCGGUAAGGUGAUAUGAACCGUUACAGCCGGCGAUUUCCGAAUGGGGAAACCCAGUGUGUUUCGACACACUAUCAUUACGUGAAUACAUAGCGUAAUGAAGCGAACCGGGGGAACUGAAACAUCUAAGUACCCCGAGGAAAAGAAAUCAACCGAGAUUCCCCCAGUAGCGGCGAGCGAACGGGGAGCAGCCCAGAGUCUGAAUCAGCAUGUGUGGUAGUGGAACGGUCUGGAAAGUCCGACGGUACAGGGUGAUAGUCCCGUACACAAAAUCGCAUGUGUUGUGAACUCGAAGAGUAGGGCGGGACACGUGGUAUCCUGUCUGAAUAUGGGGGGACCAUCCUCCAAGGCUAAAUACUCCUGACUGACCGAUAGUGAACCAGUACCGUGAGGGAAAGGCGAAAAGAACCCCGGCGAGGGGAGUGAAAAAGAACCUGAAACCGUGUACGUACAAGCAGUGGGAGCCUCUUUAUGGGGUGACUGCGUACCUUUUGUAUAAUGGGUCAGCGACUUAUAUUCUGUAGCAAGGUUAACCGUAUAGGGGAGCCGAAGGGAAACCGAGUCUUAACUGGGCGUUAAGUUGCAGGGUAUAGACCCGAAACCCGGUGAUCUAGCCAUGGGCAGGUUGAAGGUUGGGUAACACUAACUGGAGGACCGAACCGACUAAUGUUGAAAAAUUAGCGGAUGACUUGUGGCUGGGGGUGAAAGGCCAAUCAAACCGGGAGAUAGCUGGUUCUCCCCGAAAGCUAUUUAGGUAGCGCCUCGUGAACUCAUCUUCGGGGGUAGAGCACUGUUUCGGCUAGGGGGUCAUCCCGACUUACCAACCCGAUGCAAACUACGAAUACCGAAGAAUGUUAUCACGGGAGACACACGGCGGGUGCUAACGUCCGUCGUGAAGAGGGAAACAACCCAGACCGCCAGCUAAGGUCCCAAAGUCACAGUUAAGUGGGAAACGAUGUGGGAAGGCACAGACAGCCAGGAUGUUGGCUUAGAAGCAGCCAUCAUUUAAAGAAAGCGUAAUAGCUCACUGGUCGAGUCGGCCUGCGCGGAAGAUGUAACGGGGCUAAACUGUGCACCGAAGCUGCGGCAGC
rnacentral:rRNA from 1 species